rnacentral:tRNA from 1 species
GGGGAUGUGGCUCAAGCGGUAGCGCGCUCGCCUGGCAUGCGUGAGACCUGGGUUCAAUCCUCAGCACCA